rnacentral:rRNA from 1 species
CUGAAUACACCCCAUCAUAUUUGAUCUCAGAAGCUAAGCAG